rnacentral:rRNA from 1 species
UACGUAGGGUGCAAGCGUUGCCCGGAUUUAUUGGGCGUAAAGGGCGCGUAGGCGGCUCUGCACGUCCGUUGUGAAAUCGCCCGGCUCAACUGGGCGGGGUCAGCGGAUACGGCAGAGCUUGAGCAAGCUAGGGGGCAAUGGAAUUCCCGGUGUAGUGGUGGAAUGCGUAGAUAUCGGGAGGAACACCAGUGGCGAAGGCGGGUUGCCUGGGGCUUUGCUGACGCUGAGGUGCGAAGCGUGGGGAGCAAAGCAGGAUUAAGAAACCCCAGGUACAGUCCGACGACCAAACGAUCUC